UCGCUCAAUCCGAUCCAAAUAUGUAUCGAAGAGCAUAAUGAGGAACUAUUAGAGCAUGACAAGUUUUUAGGUGACGAAGGUGAUAAUGAAGUGUAACACCCCAAAAUAUCAUCCCGAGAGGCCACACGGUGCCCAAGGCUACAAGUAGCCUCAAGCUAACCCUUUAAGCCAAAAUACUACCCUUGGGUUCCAACACAACAAC
rnacentral:lncRNA from 1 species